CAGCAGCCGCGGUAAUACGGAGGGUGCAAGCGUUAUCCGGAAUCAUUGGGUUUAAAGGGUCCGUAGGCGGUCUUGUAAGUCAGUGGUGAAAGCCCAUCGCUCAACGGUGGAACGGCCAUUGAUACUGCAGGACUUGAAUUAUUGGGAAGUAACUAGAAUAUGUAGUGUAGCGGUGAAAUGCUUAGAGAUUACAUGGAAUACCAAUUGCGAAGGCAGGUUACUACCAAUUGAUUGACGCUGAUGGACGAAAGCGUGGGUAGCGAACAGGAUUAGAUACCCGCGUAGUCCCUGUCUCUUAUAC
rnacentral:rRNA from 1 species